rnacentral:lncRNA from 1 species
AUGGGAUGUGUUUAUAGUUGUUUCCUCGAAGUGUGUUGUGACGAGAAUCAAAUAGUGUAUCCUAGGAUGCCAGGGGAAUCCACCGUCUGCCACCGCGAGCGUGAGAAGCCAAUCACCUAUCACUGGCAUCACUGGCAUCCUGGCCAUAUAUACCCUAGAAUUGCAUCAAUGGAAGAUUACGAUGAGGACCUGGUGCAGGAAGCUUCAUCUGAAGAUGUCCUGGGCGUUCAUAUGGUAAGUUCUUCUUUAUGUUUCUGAGAUGGAAAUUUUGUUGCUCUUGGUUCUUUUUUAUUUUAUUUGAAUUGAGAUAUGAAAAUCUUACCAUGUACAUUAUAGAUGACUUACAGAAUAUUUUGGUGGGAAAAUGUGAGGGUCAUUACCAGGUAAGAAAUGAUCUCAGAUGGCAUUCUUAGAUGACACCUUCAGUUAUGAACUGUAUGGCAGAAAGAAUUUUUUUAGGGGAAAAGCUUUCUUCUUACAACAUUGUGACUGUACAACCAAAACAAUCUUGAAAGUCUUGCAUAAAAAUCUUGUGCCUUUCCAGAAGUGUCUUCGAGGCUUUAGGACCAUUGCCUCAACCACUGUCUCACAACUGCUUUUCUAAUGUCACCAAGUAAAGAAAAGACUUGUAUGGUGAAACCCCAUCUCUACUACAAAUACAAAAAUUAGCUGGGCAUGCUGACCGGCUACUGUAAUCUCAGCUACUGGGGAGGCUAAGGGAGCAGGAUCGCUUGAGGCCAGGAGGCGGAUGUUGCAGUGAGCCAUGAUCAUGACACUGUACUCCAGCCUGGGUGACAGAGCGAAAUUCCAGCAAAGAAAGGGAGAGAGGAAGGGAGACAGGGAGUAGGGGAGAGAGAGAGAGAGAGAGAGCGAGGAGAGAGAAGGAAGAGAGAGAAGAAGAAGAAGAGAGAGA